GGACGACGCUGGCGGCGUGCCUAACACAUGCAAGUCGAGCGAGGAGAUUCCUUCGGGAUGAUCCUAGCGGCGACGGGUGAGUAACACGUGGGCAACCUGCCUCAUAGAGAGGAAUAGCCUUCCGAAAGGGAGAUUAAUACCUCAUAACAUUGCAGUUUCGCAUGGAACAGCAAUUAAAGGAGCAAUCCGCUAUGAGAUGGGCCCGCGGCGCAUUAGCUAGUUGGUGAGGUAACGGCUCACCAAGGCGACGAUGCGUAGCCGACCUGAGAGGGUGAUCGGCCACAUUGGGACUGAGACACGGCCCAGACUCCUACGGGAGGCAGCAGUGGGGAAUAUUGCACAAUGGGGGAAACCCUGAUGCCAGCAACGCCGCGUGAGUGAUGACGGCCUUCGGGUUGUAAAGCUCUGUCUUCAGGGACGAUAAUGACGGUACCUGAGGAGGAAGCCACGGCUAACUACGUGCCAGCCGCCGC
rnacentral:rRNA from 1 species